AAAAUUUAAGACACGCGCCCGCGUGCCAUGUGGAAUUAAAGGGCACGCCCGUCGGAACGUUAACAAUUUAUUUAUAGACCAAUCCAAAGUUUGCCAAAAAUUAAAAAUUUGGAAUCUUAUUAUCUUAUUUUAUCUUAGACCCGUUUUGCCCUAAUUUCAGUACUGAUUUCAGUACUAAAAAUAUUGGUUAGUUGCGCGAGUCGAUUUAGUAUGAAAAAGUCAGUUUGUGCCAAGUUUGUGUUUGCAACAAUCCGAAUUGUAAUCAGCAUAUAGGCAUGCGCUCUACCUACUAAAUUUACAUGAGCUUUACUCAAGGUUCAUAGAUAGUAGCUUUACUAAUUGAUAUUGCAAGUUGAAAUCCAUUAACUUAUUAACAAUAAAAGAUGGGAAGAAGUAUUUUUGCAAAACUGGCAAACUUGGCUUUUAUUUCUGCUAUUAGAGAUAUAUCCACACCUAGUUUGGCUAAUUCUGCCUUUAUUUCUUCCAAAACUUUAAUUCGUGCGUUCCUAUUCUAUAGAGAGGGUGCUUUGGCACAUACAAACAUUGAUCAUUGAUUCGAUUUGUAAAACUCUAUUAAUGUUUCAAUCUGCCUUUUUCUCCACAUGUUGAAAGUUGAAAUCACUAUUAUUAUUAUGUACCUAUAAAAAAAACAAAAG
rnacentral:lncRNA from 1 species